GCACGCGCUUUUAUACGUCAUUCUAUCCGAUGUCUGCUACUAAGAACGAUACGUCAGCUUGCCUGACUGUCAAGCUUAAAUUGUGAGUCGUGUUGUCGCAGUCUAAAAGUGAAGCCGAUAAACGGAAGAAGGUUCCCCCUCGACUCAAUCUAAAUCAAAGCGCGUAAGAUCUACCACCAAAUUCUCUUUCAUCUUUCCAUAAUUUCUCGUGUAAACAGGUGCUAUCGAGCUCGAAUACGAUCUGUUAUGAAGCCAUUAGACAAUAUUCGCACCCAAAUGUGCACUGUUAGUAAGAUUUGAUCAUUAGCAGGAUGACUCUCGGACAAGAUACAAUGGAUCAGCAAUUAGGGAAAGAUGAUGCCAUUCGUGAUCCUGCCUUUGUCAAAAUGGAAAAGCUGAUCCGAGAAAUGCAAGAUUCUGACAUGGGCGUUCCUGUGCGAAGUCAGAAAACAUUUCUCAGUUCAAUUCCCUGCGCAUUUUUAGGUAAAUACACAACUUUAUUAUUCUUAUGUCUAUCGUAGCGUAUUCUCGUAAUGUUUACAGUAGCAUAACUACCAUUAAAGUAGAAAAUCAAUGACAUCCCUUAUUAAGCAAAGAGAGAAGGCUAAUAAAAUGAUAGAUGACAUGCUGGCUUCUAUUCUUUUCCCGCUAGAAUGGUAUCAGUAUUUUAGUUACAUUCAAUAACUGCUGGAAGCCGUUUGGAAGUGACAUGCACGUGUCUUGAUGGACGUUAAUGUUUCGGACGGCAGGAAGCUUUUGAUUUUCACUCAUCUUCUUUUUUACCUCUAAUCCCGUAGAAAGAUGAUAGUAUAACUUGUCAUAAACUGCUGCAAGUAGAAAUGAUCCAGUAGAAAUGAUGGAUUAAUAAAAGAAUUGAACAAACUUACAAGAAAUCGAUUGGUUAAUAUUGAA